UUAGCGCAGUAGGUAGCGCGUCAGUCUCAUAAUCUGAAGGUCGUGAGUUCGAUCCUCACACGGGGCACAAUACUUUUGGCCGUUCCGAGUCUUAAUUUCUUGCCAGAAGCAAAUUUUACUCAGUCGAGGAGCGCUCGCAACGCGGAGAUUGUCUUGCGUUGGCUAGGCGUGGAAUGGCUGCCGUGUCGUGACCUGGACCUUGUAAACUGGUCAUCAUUGGGGUCGCGGACCAUCCCGGAGACGGAGGCGAAACUUUUCUGCUGGGUUCAGGGAGCGGUGAGGGUGAAAUGCCUAUGUCACCAAAAGACGAGGGGGCCCACAGCUACUCCGAGCCCGGGCUGCGAGUCUCCUGCGAAGAUUUCGCACGCUCUUGAGAAGAUCGUGUUCUGUGGAGUUCCAUUCUAUUGGUUUAUUUCUUGAAAAAACUGGAAAAUAAAAUUUAUAGUUAUUAGUGGC